ensembl:misc_RNA Metazoa_SRP Metazoan signal recognition particle RNA
GCCGGGUUCAGUGGCGGCGCCUGUAAUCCAAGCUACCGGGAGGCUGAGGCUGGCGGAUCGCUUGAGUUCAGGGCUUCUUCUGGGCUGCAGUGGACUAUGUCGAUCGGGUGUCCGCACUAAGUUCGGUAUCGAUAUGGUGCUCCUGGGGGAGCUCGGGACCACCAGGUCGUCUAAGGAGGGGUGAACCGGCCCAGGUCGGAGACGGAGCAGGUCAAAGCCCCCGUGUCGAUCAGUAGUGGGAUCGCGCCUGUGAAUAGACACUGCAGCGCAGCCUGAGCGAGACAGCGAGACCCAGACUUU